rnacentral:rRNA from 1 species
GACGAACGCUGGCGGCGUGCCUAACACAUGCAAGUUGAGAGACGAACCAGGGCUUGCCCUGGGGCAAAGCAGCGAACGGGUGAGUAACACGUGGGUAACCUACCCCGAUAACCGGGACAACCCGAGGAAACUCGGGCUAAUACCGGAUGUGCUCACUGAACUUCGGUUCAGUGCGUAAAGGAAGCUUCGGCCUCCGUAUCGGGAGGGGCCCGCGGCCCAUUAGCUAGUUGGUGAGGUAACGGCGCACCAAGGCCGCGAUGGGUAGGUGGUCUGCGAGGACGAUCAGCCACACUGGGACUGGGACACGGCACAGACUCCUACGGGAGGCAGCAGUGGGGAAUCGUGCGCAAUGCGCGAAAGCGUGACGCAGCAACGCCGCGUGGGGGAAGAAGGCCUUCGGGUUGUAAACCCCUUUCAGGAGGGACGAAGGUUCGGCGGUGAAUAGCCGUCCGGACUGACGGUACCUCCACAAGAAGCCCCGGCUAACUACGUGCCAGCCGACGCGGUAAUAC